AUACGGAGGAUCCAAGCGUUAUCCGGAAUCAUUGGGUUUAAAGGGUCCGUAGGCGGUUUAGUAAGUCAGUGGUGAAAGCCCAUCGCUCAACGGUGGAACGGCCAUUGAUACUGCUAAACUUGAAUUAUUAGGAAGUAACUAGAAUAUGUAGUGUAGCGGUGAAAUGCUUAGAGAUUACAUGGAAUACCAAUUGCGAAGGCAGGUUACUACUAAUGGAUUGACGCUGAUGGACGAAAGCGUGGGUAGCGAACAGGAUUAGAUACCCUGGUAGUCCACGCCGUAAACGAUGGAUACUAGCUGUUGGGAGCAAUCUCAGUGGCUAAGCGAAAGUGAUAAGUAUCCCACCUGGGGAGUACGUUCGCAAGAAUGAA
rnacentral:rRNA from 1 species